GACAUAGGUGGCGAACGUUAUCCGGAAUUAUUGGGCGUAAAGGAUGCGUAGAUGGUGUGAUAAGUUAUCAGUGGCAAAUCGGGGCUCAACCUCGUGGAAGCUGUUAAUACCGUUGUGCUUGAGUUCAGGAGAAGUUAACGGAACUCCAUGUGGAGCGGUAAAAUGUGACGAUAUAUGGAAGAACACCGAUAAGGCGAAGGCAGUUAACUAUUCUGUUACUGACAUUGAGGCAUGAAAGCGUGGGUAGCAAACAGG
rnacentral:rRNA from 1 species